rnacentral:rRNA from 1 species
UGCGCAGGCGGAAUGAUAAGUCAGUGGUGAAAUCCUACAGCUCAACUGUAGAACUGCCAUUGAUACUGCCAUUCUAGAGUACAGUUGAAGUAGGCGGAAUGUAUCAUGUAGCGGUGAAAUGCAUAGAUAUGAUACAGAACUCCUAUAGCAAAGGCAGCUUACUAAACUGUAACUGACGCUCAGGCACGAAAGCGUGGGGAGCAAACAGGAUUAGAUACCCUGGUAGUCC